UUUCAUUUCCCCUUUUUCCGCUCCUCUGUCUCUAUCUUCACUCUUCAUCAACUGCAUCUUCUCUUGCUUUGGAUAAUCAUUGUGAUGAUAUUGGCCUCCUUGACCUCUGUUACAUCUAACAAGAGUUCCAUGGGUUGACAAUAUUGCUACUUUUUGUUAGAUAUUGGCUAUUGUAGGAGUAUCUCCUCAUUUGGUGGUUUGUGACAGAGUGCAUGGAGCUCUCUACUUCCACCCUUCGUUGAUGAUGAAACAUACUCCUCCAUUUUAAAUUGUUCCAUCUUGCCUCCAGAUCCUCCCAUUCGAGUCCUUUUUUGCUGGCUAUUGUAGUAUCUAGAUAGCAUUUCACUUUUUUGCUGCCUUGAAGGCUUUUGUAAAUAUUAUGCUUCGUGAAAAAAUUCAUGUUGUAGCCUUGGCUGCCCCUAUCCCUUUAGCAGUGAUACUUUUAAAUAUAGACAUAGUCGCUUGUCAUUGUUAACUAUCUUUCUCCCUUCUAUCUCCAUGUUAUCCCUUCUAUCUCCAUG